UACCUAACCCUCAGGAGAAACCCUGAGGUAUGGUAAUAAAUCCUAAGCAACAGAAACGGUCUCAUGACUGGUACUUGUUGCUUAGGUCAGCAUUCGAAAGGAUGUUGGGUGGCCCGCAAGGGUUGCC
rnacentral:sRNA from 12 species